rnacentral:tRNA from 1 species
AAUUUGUUAGACUAUUUAAUUCUUUUUAUUUAACGCUCUAUUAAAAUUUUAGGGUAAAGGCCU